CGGCACUGAUGAAGGCAGUACAGCAGGAGCAGGAAGAAUGUGUUGCUAUUCUGCUGGAACACGGUGCCGAUCCGAAUCUGGCAGACGCUGGCGGCAACACUGCCCUUCACCUGGCUGUCCUGUCUAAAAAUACAGCUGUAGCAGGGCUGUUACUCGAGCAUAAUGCCAGUAGUGAUGCUCAGAACCAGAUGGGAUUUACUCCCUUAAAACUUGCAGCCCUCCUACAGCAUGAGGAGAUUCUGGAGUGCCUUCUGAAAAAAGCAGCGGACAGGCAUGCUCAAGCCCAAUU